AACGAACGCUGGCGGCAUGCCUAACACAUGCAAGUCGAACGAUGCUUUCGGGCAUAGUGGCGCACGGGUGCGUAACGCGUGGGAAUCUGCCCUUGGGUUCGGAAUAACAGUGAGAAAUUGCUGCUAAUACCGGAUGAUGUCUUCGGACCAAAGAUUUAUCGCCCAGGGAUGAGCCCGCGUAGGAUUAGCUAGUUGGUGGGGUAAUGGCCUACCAAGGCGACGAUCCUUAGCUGGUCUGAGAGGAUGAUCAGCCACACUGGGACUGAGACACGGCCCAGACUCCUACGGGAGGCAGCAGUGGGGAAUAUUGGACAAUGGGCGCAAGCCUGAUCCAGCAAUGCCGCGUGAGUGAUGAAGGCCUUAGGGUUGUAAAGCUCUUUUACCCGGGAUGAUAAUGACAGUACCGGGAGAAUAAGCUCCGGCUAACUCCG
rnacentral:rRNA from 1 species